rnacentral:rRNA from 1 species
AUUGAACGCUGGCGGCAGGCCUAACACAUGCAAGUCGAGCGGUAACAGGAAGAAGCUUGCUUCUUUGCUGACGAGUGGCGGACGGGUGAGUAAUGUCUGGGAAACUGCCUGAUGGAGGGGGAUAACUACUGGAAACGGUAGCUAAUACCGCAUAACGUCGCAAGACCAAAGAGGGGGACCUUCGGGCCUCUUGCCAUCGGAUGUGCCCAGAUGGGAUUAGCUAGUAGGUGGGGUAACGGCUCACCUAGGGGACGAUCCCUAGCUGGUCUGAGAGGAUGACCGGCCCAAGAGGACCGAGGACCAGAUCCGGACCCCGAGGGGGGGCAGAGGGGGGGAAGAUGGAGCAGGGGGGGAAAGCGUAAGAAGGGCGGGAGCCGGUGAUAGAGAAGCCCUUUGGGGGGUAAAGUCCUUUGGGGGGGAAGGAAGGGGGGAAAGUUAAGAACUUUGUUCGUGACGGUUCCCGGAGAAGAAACCCCGGCUAACUACCUG